GGCCAUUUAGGUCGAUUUACUUUAAACAGUAUACAAUUUAUUUUAAGCGAUUACCUUAGGUAUAAUCACAUUAUACCCAGCGCUGCUAUAUAUUUCUCUCCCGCUUGUUUUCAGAUGCACAUCCGCUCUCCAAUGGAAAGAUCUAAAGCGCUAAGAAGAUUUCGGCAGCGUCGGUGCCUUAUCCCACCUUUAUUUACCUGCAGCCCUUGUAACGUGACACUUCCUUUCGCAAAACACCGCGGCAGUUUCCAAACCCCACUCAAGCUUUGUCACGGCCAUGCAUUUUUGACUGAGGGUCGCUUUCCUGCUCGCAGGACAAACACUCUCAUCCCAAAAAGCAGCGCCCCUGCGCCGUGCCGGCCCCUUGAGUCAGGGAAAGGAGAGUUGGAGGAGCCGCCAGCCCGGCCGGAUCGGGGAGCGCCCGGCCACGUCGAGGGAGCUGGGGACAUCCCGGGCAGGUCACAGUGACAAGUCAUUUCCUCCGAGGCGGCCGAGUCCCGCGGUCCCUCGCAGAGGGGUCCUUUGUCUACUGCUGCACCUCCACCCGCCUCUCAGGGGAAACGGGGGAAAGAAAAAAAAAAAACAGCCCUCUUAAUGACGAUGGUGGCAACAGACUGUUUGGGUCCUUGUACCCCCCCACACACCUAAACAUUUCCCUUAGUCCCCGCUGAAAGGGGCGGUUUGGAAGUUGUGACAGUCUACAAAAGCCCGCCAGGACCCCCCGGCUCAGGGGCGAGGGCUUCGGGGCUUCCGUGCCCCCCGGCAUCCACGUCGUCCCUGUCGAUUUGCGGGAUUAUUUAUCGCCGACAUCCCGAGGACUGGCGCGAUGCCUCUGAGACUUGCCCCCGAGCGUCAGUCGGUCGGCGGGGCAUAAGGAGGAGAGGGGGGAAGGAGGGGCGGGGGGAAAUUUCUGCAGGUCUUUUUUUUUCCUUUUCUUUUUAAAUAAAGAUUUCUGUGAUGAACGACUAGGAGCCUUU
rnacentral:lncRNA from 1 species